AGAGUUUGAUUAUGGCUCAGGAUAAACGCUGGCGGCGCACAUAAGACAUGCAAGUCGAACGGAAGUCGUUACGAAAUGGAAUGAAGAUUUAUCUGAUUGAAGUUUUGUAACAAUGGCUUUAGUGGCGGACUGGUGAGUAACACGUAAGCAAUCUACCUAUUAGAGGGGAAUAACAAUGAGAAAUCAUUGCUAAUACCGCAUAAGCUUGUAGUACCGCAUGGUACAGCAAGAAAAGGAGCAAUCCGCUAAUAGAUGAGCUUGCGGCUGAUUAGCUAGUUGGUGUGGUAACGGCAUACCAAGGCAACGAUCAGUAGCCGGGCUGAGAGGCUCUUCGGCCACAUUGGGACUGAGAUACGGCCCAG
rnacentral:rRNA from 1 species